rnacentral:rRNA from 1 species
AUUGAACGCUGGCGGCAGGCCUAACACAUGCAAGUCGAGCGGAUGAGUGGAGCUUGCUCCAUGAUUCAGCGGCGGACGGGUGAGUAAUGCCUAGGAAUCUGCCUGGUAGUGGGGGACAACGUUUCGAAAGGAACGCUAAUACCGCAUACGUCCUACGGGAGAAAGUGGGGGAUCUUCGGACCUCACGCUAUCAGAUGAGCCUAGGUCGGAUUAGCUAGUUGGUGGGGUAAAGGCUCACCAAGGCGACGAUCCGUAACUGGUCUGAGAGGAUGAUCAGUCACACUGGAACUGAGACACGGUCCAGACUCCUACGGGAGGCAGCAGUGGGGAAUAUUGGACAAUGGGCGAAAGCCUGAUCCAGCCAUGCCGCGUGUGUGAAGAAGGUCUUCGGAUUGUAAAGCACUUUAAGUUGGGAGGAAGGGCAGUAAGUUAAUACCUUGCUGUUUUGACGUUACCGACAGAAUAAGCACCGGCUAACUCUGUGCCAGCCGCCGCAGUAAUAC